UGAGGAAUUUUGCGCAAUGGGAGCAAUCCUGACGCAGCAACGCCGCGUGGGUGAUGAAGGCCUUCGGGUCGUAAAGCCCUGUCAGGUGGGAAGAAUGUCCCGGGACUGAACAGGUUCCGGGAGUGACGGUACCACCCGAGGAAGCACCGGCUAACUCCGUGCCAGCAGCCGCGGUAAUACGGAGGGUGCAAGCGAUAUUCGGAAUUACUGGGCGUAAAGCGCGUGUAGGGGGUCCUGCAAGUCUGAUGUGAAAGCCCCGGGCUUAACCCGGGAAGUGCAUUGGAAACUG
rnacentral:rRNA from 1 species